GUCCAAGGUGAUUCCCUCUCCAAGGGGCUGACCAGUGCCCCUUUCAGGAACGUAGCAACUUGGAAGAAAAUCUGGCAUGCCUGAGGUCUGGGGAACAAAGGUUGCUUGUUGCCUUUGCCUGCCUUUGGUUGCCUACAUGU
ensembl:snoRNA predicted gene, 24151